rnacentral:tRNA from 5 species
GGGGAGAUGGCCGAGUGGUUAAAGGCGACAGACUGUAAAUCUGUUAACGUACGUUUACGGGGGUUCGAAACCCUCUCUCCCCA